UACGUAGGGUGCGAGCGUUGUCCGGAAUUAUUGGGUUUAAAGGGUGCGUAGGCGGCUUUUUUAAGUCAGUGGUGAAAUACUGCAGCUCAACUGUUAGAACUGCCAUUGAUACUGGGAAGCUUGAGUACAGACGAGGUAGGCGGAAUUGACAGUGUAGCGGUGAAAUGCUUAGAUAUUGUCAAAGAACACCUAUUGCGAAGGCAGCUUACUAGACU
rnacentral:rRNA from 1 species